CGCGCCCAGCCAGCGGGAAGGAUCAGUCGUAAGUGGUGUAAGGGUAUGCGGAGGAUGGGUUUGGCACCGUGCACGCCCUGCUCAUCCACUCUACACCUGUGCACUUACUGUAGGUUUCAAAGGUGACGCGAGUUUCGGCUCGAGGAGCUUUUGGGCUUACGUUUCACUAUAAACGCUUUAGUAUCAGAAUGUGUAUCGCGAUGUAACGCAUCUAUAUACAACUUUCAGCAACGGAUCUCUUAGGCUCUCGCAUCGAUGAAGAACGCAGCGAAAUGCGAUAAGUAAUGUGAAUUGCAGAAUUCAGUGAAUCAUCGAAUCUUUGAACGCACCUUGCGCUCCUUGGUAUUCCGAGGAGCAUGCCUGUUUGAGUGUCAUGAAAUUGUCAACCUAUGAGCCUUUGCGGGUUUGUAGGAUUGGACUUGGAGGUCUGUCGGCUUGCGUCGGCUCCUCUCAAAUGCAUUAGCUCGAUUCCUUGCGGAUCGGCUCUCGGUGUGAUAGUUUUUUGCGCCGCGACCGUGAAGCGUUUGGCGAGCUUCUAACGGUCUCUUAUGAGACAACGAAACUGAACUCCUGACCUCAAAUCCAGCGUC
rnacentral:rRNA from 1 species